UACGAAGGGGGCUAGCGUUGCUCGGAAUCACUGGGCGUAAAGCGCACGUAGGCGGAUCCUUAAGUCGGGGGUGAAAUCCUGGAGCUCAACUCCAGAACUGCCUUCGAUACUGAGGAUCUCGAGUCCGGGAGAGGUGAGUGGAACUGCGAGUGUAGAGGUGAAAUUCGUAGAUAUUCGCAAGAACACCAGUGGCGAAGGCGGCUUACUGGUCCGGAUCUGACGCUGAGGCGCGAAAGCGUGGGGAGCAAACAGG
rnacentral:rRNA from 1 species